UAUUUUUGGAUCUAGCACCUGCUUACAAGGGGAAGUACUGGAGGGGGAGGAAGAGACAGAUUUAGAAACCCUCCUACCCCAGAAUAUCCACGCCUGCUCAGCCCAUGUGUGCAGCUUCAGCCCUGGCUUAAGGCCUCACCUCCCACCUUACAGCUGAGCCUCCCCGAGUGACCUCAUGCAACUAUCUUUGUCAGGUGUACAGGCUCAGAAUGAGAUCAACAAACAAAAAGCCCUGCUCCAUUCAGAUAAGAAAGUCUCCUCCAGCAGCAGCGACUACUACGAUAUUUAUUCAUACCAUUCCCACAGAUUUUACAAGAGAGACCUAAAUCGCUACCGCCAGGAGCGCUGGCCCUUUGAGCCAUGUCUCAUUGGGAAGCCCUGAAGUUUCUAGUCACCGCAUCCAUGUGGUCUCUGAGCUGCUCAGCUGCCAGUGUCUCCAUGAAGAAGACGACGGUGGGCAGGAGUAUUGAAGACUGAUUCGGAAACUCCCUGCAGGAGGAGAAGACGUCUGAGCCAUCACUGUCCACCUGCAGGAGACCCUCCAGCUCCUAACACAGCCAGGGCAAGGGAAGCUGUCUCCAAUUAAAGUCCUCAGUCCCAUCAGA